CACUGCUGACGAAUCCAAAACAGGACGAAACAGCUGUCCAGUGG
rnacentral:hammerhead_ribozyme from 1 species